rnacentral:rRNA from 1 species
CCUACGGGUGGCAGUAGUGAGGAAUAUUGGUCAAUGGACGAGAGUCUGAACCAGCCAAGUAGCGUGAAGGAUGACUGCCCUAUGGGUUGUAAACUUCUUUUAUAUGGGAGUAAAAUGUUCCACGUGUGGGAUUUUGUAUGUACCAUAUGAAUAAGGAUCGGCUAACUCCGUGCCAGCAGCCGCGGUAAUACGGAGGAUCCGAGCGUUAUCCGGAUUGAUUGGGUUUAAAGGGAGCGUAGGUGGAUUGUUAAGUCAGUUGUGAAAGUUUGCGGCUCAACCGUAAAAUUGCAGUUGAAACUGGCAGUCUUGAGUACAGUAGAGGUGGGCGGAAUGCGUGGUGUAGCGGUGAAAUGCGUAGAUAUCACGAAGAACUCCGAUUGCGAAGGCAGCUUACUGGACUGCAACUGACACUGAGGCUCGAAAGUGUGGGUAUCAAACAGGAUUAGAUACCCGUGUAGUC